rnacentral:rRNA from 1 species
AAGACCCUAUGGAGCUUUAGACGUCAGAGCAGCCCAUGUAAAGCACCCCUUAACAAAGGAAAAAACCAAAUGAAGCCUGCCCUAAUGUCUUUGGUUGGGGCGACCGCGGGGAAAUACAAAACCCCCAUGUGGAGUAGGAAUACACAUUCCUAAACCCAAGAGCUCCCGCUCUAAUGAACAGAAAUUCUGACCAAUAAGAUCCGGCACACGCCGAUCAACGGACCGAGUUACCCUAGGGAUAACAGCGCAAUCCCCUUAAAGAGCCCUUAUCGACAAGGGGGUUUACGACCUCGAUGUUGGAUCAGGACAUCCUAAUGGUGCAGCCGCUAUUAAGGGUUCG